AAGUCGUAACAAGGUUUCCGUAGGUGAACCUGCGGAAGGAUCAUUACAAAUCCAAACACAAUGACUCGUUGAAAUGUUCUCGGCCUUGGGGUAUGGCGCCCCAUUCAGUUACCGCUCCAAGCGAUGACGUUGGGAACGCCAUACCAAAGAGAAAAGAGGAGCUGGCGCAGAGACGACACCUUCGUGUGUAUCAUCUCGCAUUGCUCCUCAAACCUCGGCAACCAAGGUUCGCACAAUGACGCUUUUCAUAUUGACAUUUACGUAACAACGAAAACAAAAACAACUUUUAACAAUGGAUCUCUAGGCUCUU
rnacentral:misc_RNA from 1 species